rnacentral:siRNA from 1 species
GGGAAUUGGCACUGACAUGCGGGA